ACGUCAUAAGGACACUCAAGAAGCCCUAUAGAAGAGCUCACAUGGUAAAGAAAUGAGGCCUUCUGCCAACAGCCAGUGAGGAACUAAGCCCUGCUGGCAGCUGCCAGAUGAGCAAGCCAUCUUGGAAGAAGACCCCCAGACUGUUAAGCCUUCAGAUAACUGCAGCCCCAGCUGACACAAGAAACCAGAGUCAGAAUCACUCAGCAAGGCAUUCCUGAAUUUCUGACCCACAGAAAUUCUAAUCAGCUUCCUUCAAAUUGGAUUUCGUAGUGAUAUGGAUCUGUUCACAGUCUUAUGGAGGCUGAUGCUGGCAUUUGAAUGCAGUUCCUCGAGGCUUUCCGAUGAGCUAAGAAACUGGAUGAAGCAUGAGUGGAACCAGUUGUCUUGGACUGGCUGAAAUGAGAGGUGAGGAUAAAGGAACAUCAGAAGCUUUGAGAUGGUGCAUGAGAUGUAUUUGAUACAGUCCACCUCUUGAACAGCUCAGCUAUGCUUUUGCCUUCUAAGUUCAAACAAUACACAGUCUCCUUCAGCGUGGUAGCCACCACAAUCUCUGCAAAGACUUCAUGCAAAGGCGUUA